CCUACGGGUGGCAGCAGUGAGGAAUAUUGGUCAAUGGACGAGAGUCUGAACCAGCCAAGUAGCGUGAAGGAUGACUGCCCUAUGGGUUGUAAACUUCUUUUAUAUGGGAAUAAAACGUUCCACGUGUGGGAUUUUGUAUGUACCAUAUGAAUAAGGAUCGGCUAACUCCGUGCCAGCAGCCGCGGUAAUACGGAGGAUCCGAGCGUUAUCCGGAUUUAUUGGGUUUAAAGGGAGCGUAGGUGGAUUGUUAAGUCAGUUGUGAAAGUUUGCGGCUCAACCGUAAAAUUGUAGUUGAAACUGGCAGUCUUGAGUACAGUAGAGGUGGGCGGAAUUCGUGGUGUAGCGGUGAAAUGCUUAGAUAUCACGCAGAACUCCGAUUGCGAAGGCAGUUCACUGGACUGCAACUGACACUGAGGCUCGAAAGUGUGGGUAUCAAACAGGAUUAGAUACCCUAGUAGUC
rnacentral:rRNA from 1 species